UACAGAGGGUGCAAGCGUUAAUCGGAAUUACUGGGCGUAAAGCGUGCGCAGGCGGUUGUGUAAGUUUGUCGUGAAAUCCCCGGGCUUAACCUGGGAAUUGCGAUGAAGACUGCACGGCUAGAGUGUGUCAGAGGGGGGUAGAAUUCCACGUGUAGCAGUGAAAUGCGUAGAUAUGUGGAGGAACACCGAUGGCGAAGGCAGCCCCCUGGGAUAACACUGACGCUCAUGCACGAAAGCGUGGGGAGCAAAC
rnacentral:rRNA from 1 species